UUAACCCAUUUAACAACUCAACCCAUCAAAUUAAAUGAGUUAUGGGUUGACCCAAUUCAUUUAACAAAAUGAGUUGGGUCAACCCAUAACUCAUUUGAUUAUGAGUUGAGUUGAGUUGGGUU
rnacentral:pre_miRNA from 14 species